UGUGAGCUCGAUGAGUAGGGCGGGACACGUGGUAUCCUGUCUGAAUAUGGGGGGACCAUCCUCCAAGGCUAAAUACUCCUGACUGACCGAUAGUGAACCAGUACCGUGAGGGAAAGGCGAAAAGAACCCCGGCGAGGGGAGUGAAAAAGAACCUGAAACCGUGUACGUACAAGCAGUGGGAGCCUCUUAAUGGGGUGACUGCGUACCUUUUGUAUAAUGGGUCAGCGACUUAUAUUCUGUAGCAAGGUUAACCGAAUAGGGGAGCCGAAGGGAAACCGAGUCUUAACUGGGCGUUAAGUUGCAGGGUAUAGACCCGAAACCCGGUGAUCUAGCCAUGGGCAGGUUGAAGGUUGGGCAACACUAACUGGAGGACCGAACCGACUAAUGUUGAAAAAUUAGCGGAUGACUUGUGGCUGGGGGUGAAAGGCCAAUCAAACCGGGAGAUAGCUGGUUCUCCCCGAAAGCUAUUUAGGUAGCGCCUCGUGAAUUCAUCUCCGGGGGUAGAGCACUGUUUCGGCAAGGGGGUCAUCCCGACUUACCAACCCGAUGCAAACUGCGAAUACCGGAGAAUGUUAUCACGGGAGACACACGGCGGGUGCUAACGUCCGUCGUGAAGAGGGAAACAACCCAGACCGCCAGCUAAGGUCCCAAAGUCAUGGUUAAGUGGGAAACGAUGUGGGAAGGCCCAGACAGCCAGGAUGUUGGCUUAGAAGCAGCCAUCAUUUAAAGAAAGCGUAAUAGCUCACUGGUCGAGUCGGCCUGCGCGGAAGAUGUAACGGGGCUAAACCAUGCACCGAAGCUGCGGCAGCGACGCUUAUGCGUUGUUGGGUAGGGGAGCGUUCUGUAAGCCUGUGAAGGUGGCCUGUGAGGGUUGCUGGAGGUAUCAGAAGUGCGAAUGCUGACAUAAGUAACGAUAAAGCGGGUGAAAAGCCCGCUCGCCGGAAGACCAAGGGUUCCUGUCCAACGUUAAUCGGGGCAGGGUGAGUCGACCCCUAAGGCGAGGCCGAAAGGCGUAGUCGAUGGGAAACAGGUUAAUAUUCCUGUACUUGGUGUUACUGCGAAGGGGGGACGGAGAAGGCUAUGUUGGCCGGGCGACGGUUGUCCCGGUUUAAGCGUGUAGGCUGGUUUUCCAGGCAAAUCCGGAAAAUCAAGGCUGAGGCGUGAUGACGAGGCACUACGGUGCUGAAGCGACAAAUGCCCUGCUUCCAGGAAAAGCCUCUAAGCAUCAGGUAACAUCAAAUCGUACCCCAAACCGACACAGGUGGUCAGGUAGAGAAUACCAAGGCGCUUGAGAGAACUCGGGUGAAGGAACUAGGCAAAAUGGUGCCGUAACUUCGGGAGAAGGCACGCUGAUAUGUAGGUGAAGCGACUUGCUCGUGGAGCUGAAAUCAGUCGAAGAUACCAGCUGGCUGCAACUGUUUAUUAAAAACACAGCACUGUGCAAACACGAAAGUGGACGUAUACGGUGUGACGCCUGCCCGGUGCCGGAAGGUUAAUUGAUGGGGUUAGCGGUAACGCGAAGCUCUUGAUCGAAGCCCCGGUAAACGGCGGCCGUAACUAUAACGGUCCUAAGGUAGCGAAAUUCCUUGUCGGGUAAGUUCCGACCUGCACGAAUGGCGUAAUGAUGGCCAGGCUGUCUCCACCCGAGACUCAGUGAAAUUGAACUCGCUGUGAAGAUGCAGUGUACCCGCGGCAAGACGGAAAGACCCCGUGAACCUUUACUAUAGCUUGACACUGAACAUUGAGCCUUGAUGUGUAGGAUAGGUGGGAGGCUUUGAAGUGUGGACGCCAGUCUGCAUGGAGCCGACCUUGAAAUACCACCCUUUAAUGUUUGAUGUUCUAACGUGGGCCCCUUACCGGGGUUGCGGACAGUGUCUGGUGGGUAGUUUGACUGGGGCGGUCUCCUCCUAAAGAGUAACGGAGGAGCACGAAGGUUGGCUAAUCCUGGUCGGACAUCAGGAGGUUAGUGCAAUGGCAUAAGCCAGCUUGACUGCGAGCGUGACGGCGCGAGCAGGUGCGAAAGCAGGUCAUAGUGAUCCGGUGGUUCUGAAUGGAAGGGCCAUCGCUCAACGGAUAAAAGGUACUCCGGGGAUAACAGGCUGAUACCGCCCAAGAGUUCAUAUCGACGGCGGUGUUUGGCACCUCGAUGUCGGCUCAUCACAUCCUGGGGCUGAAGUAGGUCCCAAGGGUAUGGCUGUUCGCCAUUUAAAGUGGUACGCGAGCUGGGUUUAGAACGUCGUGAGACAGUUCGGUCCCUAUCUGCCGUGGGCGCUGGAGAACUGAGGGGGGCUGCUCCUAGUACGAGAGGACCGGAGUGGACGCAUCACUGGUGUUCGGGUUGUCAUGCCAAUGGCACUGCCCGGUAGCUAAAUGCGGAAGAGAUAAGUGCUGAAAGCAUCUAAGCACGAAACUUGCCCCGAGAUGAGUUCUCCCUGAGACUUAGAGUCUCCUGAAGGAACGUUGAAGACGACGACGUUGAUAGGCCGGGUGUGUAAGCGCAGCGAUGCGUUGAGCUAACCGGUACUAAUGAACCGUGAGGCUUAACCUU
rnacentral:rRNA from 1 species